AUGAGAUCUUCUUUUUAUUCAAAUAGAACUUCACCAGUUUCUUCCUUCCUGUUCUCUAUCUACCUACUUGUGAGUGGGACGAAGAACAAUUCGCAUCGCAGUACUUGUGUUUGGAGUCAGCGAUCUCAGUGAGAGCAGUCUUUCUAUACUUGAGAUAGAAGAAAAGUUUGUCCUCAACUCACCUCUCUGUACCAUACCAAUAGCUUUGUUAGGCGUGGAACUUUUCUAGGUAUGCAUGUUUGUUCGUUUGCUUGUUUGGUUGAGGAUUUCAAGCUAAAUAACACAAAAUUUAUGGAUAUUCAGUGCGUAUACAUGCCAAGAUGGAAUUAGAUAUAACACCGAUUUAAAGUUCUUCAAGGUAUAAGCACUAUUACAAGCUAACAAUGUCGGAGGAGAAACUCAAAUCGCCUAACACGAUUUUAAGGGACACAAUCAUCAAUGUCUUUUAUUUCCAUGUACAUAUUUGUAGUAAU
rnacentral:lncRNA from 1 species